AUAAAAAAGAGAUGUCAGGGCCCAACCCCAGAUCAAUUAAACAGAAUUUCUGGGUGAAGCUAGAAAUCAGAUGUAACUGGCCGAGCACGGUGACUCACUCCUGUAAUCCCAGCACUUUGGGAGGUCCAGGCGGGCAGAUCACCCAAGGUCAGGAGUUCAAGACCAGCCUGGCCAAGGUGGUGAAAUCCCAACUUUACUAAAAACAUUUUAAAAAAUUAGCGAGGCCUGGUGGUGUGUGCCUAUAGUCCCAGCUACUCGGAGGCUGAGGCAUGAGAAUCACUUGAACUCGGGAGGCGAAGGUUUCAGUGAGCCGAGAUCACGCCACUGCACUCCAGCCUGGGUGAUAGAGCGAGACUCUGUCUCAAAAAUAAAGAAAAAUCAGUAGAUAUUUACCCAAAUUUAAUGGGAUUUCAUCUGGGUUUUCAAAGAGCUCCCUAGAUAAUUCUUAGAGGCAUCCAGAUUGAGAAGCACUAAUCCAGAGCAAAACAGAAGCAGCUAAGGGUGGACAUUUGAGAACACAAACAUUUAAGGUACUGACAGAGAGGUGAUAAAGAGCACAGAUGCUAAAGAACAGCAGAUAAAAGCAGCAAAGAGAAUUUCAUCAAAGGAGUGGACAAGCACAUCACAUGCCACGGAGAGGUGAAAGAAGAAUGGGAAGAAGCCUCUAGCUUUGGUAAAUAGAAGGUCAUUACAGAUCUCUGGGAACACAGUUUUAGUACUUGCAGAAGCCAAGUUGCAAUAGGCAAGGGGUAGAUUUUAGAUGAGGACCUGGAGGGAGAGAGUGUAGACUACUCUUUCAAGAAGUUUCGUGCAAUAGGUAGGAGAAAACAGCCAGUAACUUACAAUUAAAAAGGUGGAGAGAAAGUGUUGCUGGAUUUUAAUUUAGAGCAUAUGAGUUGACUAUGGGUAAGGAGAUAAAGAAGAGAGAACGAAGAUACACAGUAGAGAAGAAGUUAUUGGAAGAACAUGGCCCUGGAGCAGCC
rnacentral:lncRNA from 1 species